GCUUUUGCAAGAGCCAAAGGUGAUUGUUGCAUGAAAACUUGAUCAGAAGCUAGCUUUGAAUACAAGGCGAGGCAGCAUGAGCUUGGAUCGACCCAAAUGAGAUGAUGCUUCAUAUUUUCUUCAUCACUGUCUGAGGGCCUUGUUGUGUCUAUACCAUUUUCUCCAGUUUCAGAAGCAUCUCUAUGAGAAUCCCUAGCAGAAGAAUAUAUUAGAUGUCCAGAUGCAAGCAAACUCACAUCUGAAUCCACCGUGUCGUAUUCCCGGAUUUCAAUUCCAU
rnacentral:misc_RNA from 1 species